rnacentral:rRNA from 1 species
AUGUCCUACGGGGGGCAGCAGUCGGGAAUAUUGCGCAAUGGAGGAAACUCUGACGCAGUGACGCCGCGUGCAGGAAGAAGGUUCUCGGAUUGUAAACUGCUUUAGACAGGGAAGAAAAAAGACAGUACCUGUAGAAUAAGCUCCGGCUAACUACGUGCCAGCAGCCGCGGUAAUACGUAGGGAGCAAGCGUUAUCCGGAUUUACUGGGUGUAAAGGGAGCGUAGGUGGCAGGGCAAGUCAGAUGUGAAAACCCGGGGCUCAACUCCGGGAGUGCAUUUGAAACUGUCCAGCUAGAGUGCAGGAGG